UUGAUCCUGGCUCAGGACGAACGCUGGCGGCNUGCCUAACACNUGCNANUCGAGCGAAUGAAGUUCCUUCGGGGACGGAUUUAGCGGCGGACGGGUGAGUAACACGUGGGCAACCUGCCUCANANANGNNNNNNGCCUCCCGAAAGGGAGAUUAAUACCGCAUAAAGUUGUUUUAUCGCAUGGUAAAAUAACCAANNGANUAAUCCACUUUGAGAUGGGCCCGCGUCGCAUUAGCUAGUUGGUAAGGUAACAGCUUACCAAGGCGACGAUGCGUAGCCGACCUGAGAGGGUGAUCGGCCACAUUGGAACUGAGAGACGGUCCAGACUCCUACGGGAGGCAGCAGUGGGGAAUAUUGCACAAUGGGCGAAAGCCUGAUGCAGCAACGCCGCGUGGGUGAUGAAGGUUUUCGGAUUGUAAAGCCCUGUCUUUUGGGACGAUAAUGACGGUACCAAAGGAGGAAGCCACGGCUAACUACGUGCCAGCAGCCGCGGUAAUACGUAGGUGGCGAGCGUUGUCCGGAUUUACUGGGCGUAAAGGGUGCGUAGGCGGAUAUUUAAGUGGGAUGUGAAAACCCCGGGCUUAACCUGGGGACUGCAUUUCAAACUGGAUAUCUGGGANUGCAGGAGAGGAAAGCGGAAUUCCUAGUGUANCGGUGAAAUGNGUAGAGAUUAGGAAGAACAC
rnacentral:rRNA from 1 species